UUAAAGUUGUUGAGGUUAAAAAGCUCGUAGUUGAACCUUGGGCCUAGCCGGCCGGUCCGCCUCACCGCGUGCACUGGCUCGGUUGGGCCUUUCCUUCUGGAGAACCCCAUGCCCUUCACUGGGUGUGGUGGGGAACCAGGACUUUUACUCUGAACAAAUUAGAUCGCUUAAAGAAGGCCUAUGCUCGAAUAUAUUAGCAUGGAAUAAUA
rnacentral:rRNA from 1 species